GGGCACAGCGUGAGGGCCGCCGUUGCUGGAGUUCAGCUUAGGGAAGGAGGACUCUGAGGAGGCCCCGAGCGGCGGAGCGCUUCGGGGGAGGCGCCCGCGCAGACGCGAGGCCCAUAGCCAGGACCACCACCUAGCUGUUCUACAGUCUGGGGACGACGGUUUAAAAAUUUAUGCCUUGCAUGCGAUGUGCAGUGGGUGAUGGAAGAACGUCUACAUGGCUUUAAAAUUGGAUUUAAAAGGCAAAUAUUUUAAAUGAAGGAAAACCCAAGAAGUUUACUUGAUUCCUUAUCUUCCAGGAUGCGACUUUUGUUUAUUUAUUUAUUUUAUUUUGAUGGAGUCUCGCUGCCGUCGCGCAGGCUGGAGUGCAGUGACGCGAUCUUGACCCGGGAACCUCCACCUCCCGGGUUCAAGCGAUUCUCCUUCCUCAACCACCCGAGUAGCUGGGAUUACAGGCGUGUGCCACCAUGCCCGGCUAAUUUUUGUGUUUUUAGUAGAGACCGGGGAAGGUAUGGGCCCUCUUUUGAGAAAAAUGCAGAGUGACACUGAAUUUUGUAACUACAUCAGGAGGCUCUUGAACCUUCUGCAGCUCACUCGUGGAGUUUGUAGAGAUGCGUAAUAAUCCGAAGUGUUAAGGAAGAAGGUUCUGUUGAGAAAAAGUUGGAGGGCUGAAAGGGAUGCCUUUCGCUAUUUCGACAUGUGUGGCUGUACCCCAGAGUGCCCUGGCUAACACGCAAAACCAUGAAUUAGGCGGCUUGGCGAGGCUCAGUGGAGGCUGGGGCCGAGAGUCAUGUCAAAGUUUGUGGGGUUAACCUGCACCCAGUGACAGUCAUGGCGAAGUUUGUGAGGUUAACUCGCACCCAGUAACGCUGUUCCAAUGCAAGGUGUGUAUUUGGUGUCAUCCACGGGAAGAGGAAACAGCAAAUUUUCUCAUGGCCUUGGCAGUUCCACAUGAUGGACAUUUCAUAUCUGCAGUUUUCUUCGCAUGAGAUGGCUUUUUUGCACAAAAACACUGGAAUCCAGUGAGCAAGAAUGAUAGAAUGCAAGAUGGAUUUCCACAUGAGGAAGUGUCACGAACAAGCGUUUUGCAUCUCUGUCAGCUGGAUUCCCCCAUGUGUACGUAUGUGAGAACAUGCCGUGUUUCCUGUCUGUAAUGGUAGAGGCAGCCCUGAUACUGGAUUUUCACCUGAGGAUGGAUAGAUCUUCAGGGUUCAAGUGGGUUUGCAUCUGGACUUUAGGGUGGCCCUGUAGGCCCUGUGUGAGAAGCCCCCUUCCCAGUGAACUUUCCCUUGUGUGCCCGCGUGGACAGCCAACAGGGGGAGCAGUGCGAGCGUGAAGGCAGACAGUGGCCUGGCCCAGUCUGAUGGAAAAGAACUACAGCCUGUGUGGGUCCCCUCCCGACAAUUAAAAUUGCACCAUAACUCCAAAGAUGAAACGCUCCCAGAAAGAAAAGGCAAAGACCCAUCGGAAACAAAAGAGCAACUUUCACCGCCUGAUACAUACACUUCAUGACAUCCACAUUGAGACAAAAUCUCGCCGUGUGACCUACAACACCUCUCGUUCAACCCCACCUACUUGGGGUCGAAUACAGAUUUUAUCUCAUCAAACAGAAAAAUUCUUAACAGAAAAAGGAAUCCCAAAAAUGACUGGUAAUAUAAUUCUGGCUGCCUUUAUGGUAGUCAGUGCAGCGUCUGCAGAUGCCUCUAAGGAGUCCGAAACCAAGUCCGAAGUCAACAACAAGCAAUGAUGGCGAUGGCGAUUCUAGUUAAUAAAAAGGGGGGAGAUGUGGGCGGCAAGCCACCCAGGCACCGAGGCAAGAGACAGAGGACACGAGCUGUUCCAGUAUAAUAAAAUAUAAAACAAGAAUAGUUAUACCAGAUAUAGAUCUUAGAUAUGAUUAUAUACGAAUAUCAUUAAUCAUGAGUUUGUAGCAAUUACUUUUUAUUCCAAUAUUAUGAUAAUCCUCGCUCUAUAAUCAUAGCCUAGGAAAAACCAGGCCAUACAGAGAUAGGAGCUGAGGGGACAUAGUGAAGUGUGACCAGAAGACAAGAGUGCGAGCCUUCUGUUAUGCCCGGACAGGGCCACCAGAGGGCUCCUUGGUCUAGCGGUGACGCCAGCGUCUGGGAAGACACCCGUUACCAGGCGGAUCGUGGCCCAGCCGUAGCAAAAGGUGUCAAGGAACACCUUUUGCAAAAGGUGUCAACACCCGCUACUUAGCAGACUGGGAAAGGGGGGCGGUCUCCCUUUCCCCGGGGGAGUUUAGAGAAGACUCUGUUCCUCCACCUCUUGUGGAGGGCCUGACAUCAGUCAGGCUUGCCCGUAGUUAUCCGGAGGCCUAACUGUCUCCCUGUGAUGCUGUGCUUCAGUGGUCACGCUCCUAGUCUGCCUUCAUUUUCCAUCCUGUACACCUGGCUCUGCCUUCUAGAUAGCAGUAGUAAAUUAGUGAAAAUACUAAUAGUCCCUGAUAUGCAGAAAUAAUGGCAUAAGCUGUCUUUCUCUCUGUCUCCUCUCCCUCUCUGCCUCGGCUGCCAGGCAGGGAAGGGCCCCCUGUCCAGUGGACACAUGACCCAUGUGACCUUACCUAUCAUUGGAGGUGACUCACAUUCUUUACCCUGCCCCUUCUGCCUUGUAUCCAAUAACAGCGCAGUCAGACAUUCAGGGCCACUACCGGUCUCCGCACAUUGGUGGUAGUGGUCCCCCGGGCCCAGCUGCCUUUUCUCU
ensembl:lncRNA ERVK13-1 endogenous retrovirus group K13 member 1